rnacentral:rRNA from 1 species
AUACGGAGGGUGCAAGCGUUAAUCGGAAUUACUGGGCGUAAAGCGCGCGUAGGCGGUUUGGUAAGUCGGAUGUGAAAGCCCCGGGCUCAACCUGGGAAUUGCAUUCGAUACUGCCUGACUAGAGUAUGGUAGAGGGAAGUGGAAUUCCGGGUGUAGCGGUGAAAGGCGUAGAUAUCCGGAGGAACACCAGUGGCGAAGGCGACUUCCUGGACCAAUACUGACGCUGAGGUGCGAAAGCGUGGGGAGCAAACAGGAUUAGAAACCCUAGUAGUCC